AAUACGAAGUCGGACCUGCCCAGUGAAGUUUAAACGGCCGCGGUACUCUGACCGUGCAAAGGUAGCAUAAUCAUUUGCCUUAUAAUUGAAGGCUGGAAUGAAUGGUUUGACAAGAAUACACCUGUCUCUUUUAGAUUAUUUAGAAUUUUAUCUUUGGGUGAAAAAGCCCAGAUCUUAUUAAAAGACAAGAAGACCCUAUCGAGCUUCAGAAAAAUUAAUAGAGAUUAUAUUUAAUAUUAAUUAAAAGAAAAGCUAUUGAAUACUUUGGUUGGGGCAACCGAGGAGUAAAUAAAGCCUCCUUUAAAUAAGAAGUCUUACUUGUGAAGAUCCAAGAAUUUUGAUCAAAGAAAUUAGUUACCGUAGGGAUAACAGCAUUAUCUUUUUUGAGAGCCCAUAUCGAAAAAAAGGUUUGUGACCUCGAUGUUGGACCAGAAUAUCCUAAAGAUGCAGAAGUCUUUGAGGGUUGGUCUGUUCGACCAUUAAAAUUC
rnacentral:rRNA from 1 species